CCCUUAGAUGUCCGGGGCUGCACGCGCGCUACACUGAAGGAAUCAGCGUGCUAAAACCAUUGUCGAAAGGCAUUGGUAAACCCAUUAAAAUCCUACGUGAUUGGGAUCGGGAAUUGCAAUUAUUUCCCUUGAACGAGGAAUUCCCAGUAAGUGUGGGUCAUAAGCUCGCGUUGACUACGUCCCUGCCCUUUGUACACACCGCCCGUCGCUGCCCGGGACUGAGCCGUUUCGAGAAAAGCGGGGACUGCUGCUGUCGGGGCUUUCGGGCCUUGGCUUCGGUGGAAACCGCUUUAAUCGCAGUGGCUUGAACCGGGCAAAAGUCGUAACA
rnacentral:rRNA from 1 species